UGCUCGGUGGUGUAACUGGUAACACACCAGAUUUUGGAUCUGGCAUUCCAGGUUCGAGCCCUGGCCGAGCAG
rnacentral:tRNA from 1 species